GGAUGCGAUCAUACAAGCACUAACGCACCAGAUCCCAUUAGAACUCCAAAAUUAAGCAUGCUUGGGCAUGAGUAGUACUAGGAUGGGUGACCCCCUGGGAAGUCUUCGUGUUGCAUCCC